GAUGAACGCUGGCGGCGUGCCUAACACAUGCAAGUCGAGCGGAGACCCCCGAAUCAGAAAUGGGGAGGGGAUCUUAGCGGCGGACGGGUGAGUAACACGUGAGCAAUCUGCCUUCAGCAGGGGAAUAACAUUGUGAAAACAGUGCUAAUACCGCAUGACAUGCCGUCGGGGCAUCCCGGGGGCAUCAAAGGAGCAAUCCGGCAGGAGAUGAGCUCGCGUCCGAUUAGGUAGUUGGUGAGGUAAAGGCCCACCAAGCCGACGAUCGGUAGCCGAACUGAGAGGUUGAUCGGCCACAUUGGGACUGAGACACGGCCCAGACUCCUACGGGAGGCAG
rnacentral:rRNA from 1 species